rnacentral:rRNA from 1 species
UACGUAGGGUGCAAGCGUUAUCGGAAUUACUGGGCGUAAAGCGUGCGCAGGCGGUUUUGUAAGUCUGUCGUGAAAAUCCCCCGGGCUCAACCUGGGAAUUGCGAUGGAGACUGCAAGGCUAGAAUCUGGCAGAGGGGGGUAGAAUUCCACGUGUAGCAGUGAAAUGGCGUAGAGAUCGGGAGGAACACCAGAGGCGAAGGCGGCGACCUGGACAGAUACUGACACUCAACUACGAAAGCGUGGGGAGCGAUCCGG